UAGGAGUACAGAUAAUUCCCAAGAAGCUGC
rnacentral:piRNA from 1 species